GUGCUUGCUUCGGCAGCACAUAUACUAAAAUUGGAAUGAUACAGAGAAGAUUAACAUGGCCCCUGCGCAAGAAUAUUCCAUCUUUGACACCGAGGAGAGACCUGAGUUC